GAUGACUUCACAUGUGGGAGGCUGUCCACCUGUUCUGUUGGUUACUGCCCUAAGACUCUGGGGUGAGGAGAUAUAAGCCCCUGUGCAGAUGAAAAGAUUGGGAAAUUCCUAUUUUAAGGAAAGGCGGCUGAAAUACUGUAUAUACAGUAGGAUGUACAUUCUUAGGGGCUUCAGUGUUGCUGAAGUAUAACAUUGCUGUAUGAAGUACUGAUGAUUUCCUUGGCUGAACCUCUGUUGUGAGAAAAUACAUGGACAGUGUCGGACUGGGGUAUGAAGGGCCCACCGGGGGAAUGCAGUGAUAGGGGCCCAGGAGUGUGGCCAGUCUACAAAGCAGGCUUGAAAUACACAAUAGACUUGUGCAGUGUAAUGCAACAUAUCUACCAUGUAUAACACAAGUGCACAGUCUGGAACCUGAUCCCUAGAGGAAGGAGUGGACCCUUAGGCAGUGGGGCCCACUGGUGGUUUCCCCUGUACCAUGUAGGCCAGUCCGACCCUGUACAUGGAACCCACAUUAUUUUUUUAGUCUGAUGAAACAAAACUCACUGAAUUAGCAGACAGGUAAAUCUGGGACAGUUCAUUUUAUUAUUCAUACCUCGACAGCUGUAAUGCUGGUGAACAGCACGGACCUGCUGGUAGAGACGCUCCAAUGCUUCAAUCUGACCCUUCUUCCUGAACUCUCGUCCAUCGUAGUCUUUCCAGUCUGUUCAGCAAACACAAAAAAUUGGUCACUGAGAUAAAAAAGGAGCAAUAUGUAAUGGCCUGCUAGGUGCAGGCUGAUCGGGAAUUUCUGAGUAUGCGCACAUUUUUAAAGCUGCAAUCAUUUAAAGGAUUUGUAAAGGAUUGCCGCUUUAAAAAUACACAUGCUGCCAUGUACAGUAUAUUCUGCGCAAAACUGAGGGAUCAACAUACAAAGGUUCUAUAAUGUUUAGCUGCUGGUUGCAUACCUCGUAUUCUGUUAGUCAUUUCCAAGGUAACCUUCAUUCAGUAAGCUACAGUAUAUAUUUAUUUAUUUGUUUAUUUACUAUUCAUUGAUAUGGCACCAGUGUAUUCUUACGUGAUUUAUAAUAGGGAGCACAGUAAUAAAACAAGAC